CCUACGGGGGGCAGCAGUGAGGAAUAUUGGUCAAUGGACGAGAGUCUGAACCAGCCAAGUAGCGUGAAGGAUGACUGCCCUAUGGGUUGUAAACUUCUUUUAUAUGGGAAUAAAAUGUUCCACGUGUGGGAUUUUGUAUGUACCAUAUGAAUAAGGAUCGGCUAACUCCGUGCCAGCAGCCGCGGUAAUACGGAGGAUCCGAGCGUUAUCCGGAUUUAUUGGGUUUAAAGGGUGCGUAGGUGGAUUGUUAAGUCAGUUGUGAAAGUUUGGGGCUCAACCGUAAAAUUGCAGUUGAAACUGGCAGUCUUGAGUACAGUAGAGGUGGGCGGAAUGCGUGGUGUAGCGGUGAAAUGCUUAGAUAUCACGAAGAACUCCGAUUGCGAAGGCAGUUCACUGGACUGCAACUGACACUGAGGCUCGAAAGUGUGGGUAUCAAACAGGAUUAGAUACCCUGGUAGUC
rnacentral:rRNA from 1 species